CAUCCCAUCAGUUAUUAAGUAGGGUAAGGGCCUACUUAGACGAAGACGGGUACGGGGAAUUAUCGUUUGAUUCCGGAGAGGGAGCCUGAGAGACGGCUACCGGGUCCAAGGACAACAGCAGGCGCGAAAAUUACCGCAGCCUGCGAUCAGGGCGGUAGUAAAAAGACGUGAUGACGAAGUGCUGAUAAAAGCUGCACUAGUGACAGGAGGAAAAGACUGGUGCCAGCACCCGCGAUAAUACCAGCUCCUGGAGUGUCUAUGAUGAUUUCUGCAGUUAAAGAGUUCGUAGCCGAGGCAUUAUUAACUGCGUUAAAGGGGAUAUCUCAAAUAUCCCUGUGCGCAGUGAUUUUGCAGAAUAAGGAGUGCUUAGGGGCCAGAGUAUCAUACGGCGACUGGUGAAAUGGGAUGACCCGUGUGGGAGUAACAGAGGCGAAAGCGCUGGCCAGGGGCGAGUCCGAUGGUAAAGGACGUAGGCUAGAGGAUCGAAGACGAUUAGAGACCGUUGUAGUUCUAGCAGUAAACGAUGCCGAUGUUGUGGUGCCGAAUAAUGGCGACGCGAAAGAGAAAUCGAGUAGGGCCCUGGGGAGAGUACACGCGCAAGCGAGAAAUUUAAAGGAAAUUGACGGAAGAACACCACAAGGAGUGGAGUGUGCGGCUUAAUUUGACUCAACGCGGGACAACUUACCGGGCCCGACGACCGUAAGAGUGUAACACACGAUAGGUCGAAGAGUGGUGCAUGGCCGUUAACGACGAGUGGAGUGAUCUUUGGGUUAAGUCCGUAAAUUAGUGAGACCUCAGCCGUAAGGGACAGGUGCGCAAAGCACAGGAAGGAUGGGUCAAGGACAGGUCAGUGAUGCCCUUAGAUGGUCCGGGCUGCACGCGCACUACAGUGGUCGCCGGAAUUGCCUGAUAAUUAUAAAGGCGAUCGAGAGGGAAUGAGCUUUGUAAGAGGCUCAGGAACGAGGAAUUGCUAGUAAUCGCGGACUCAUUAAGACGC
rnacentral:rRNA from 1 species